GGACUACCCGGGUAUCUAAUCCUGUUUGAUCCCCACACUUUCGUGCCUCAGCGUCAGUUACAGUCUAGUAAGCUGCCUUCGCUAUCGGUGUUCUUGACGAUAUCUAUGCAUUUCACCGCUACACCGUCAAUUCCGCCUACCUCGUCUGUACUCAAGUCCGCCAGUAUCAAUUGCACCUCGACAGUUAAGCUGCCGUAUUUCACAACUGACUUAAUGGACCGCCUACGCACCCUUUAAACCCAAUAAAUCCGGACAACGCUUGCCACCUACGUAUUACCGCGGCGGCUGGCAC
rnacentral:rRNA from 2 species